GUAGAGAUUGAAGGCCAGCAGACCUCAGACUCAUUUAAAAUACUUAGCUAAGCAAUAACUGAUCAUAAGCAGUCACUUCACAGGUGACAUUUUAAAUAAUCUGUCAUUUACUUUGUCAUUGGUUUGCUUUUGUUUCAGAAAACGUUCCAAAUUUUUCCUUAUGGAAUAAAAACACCCAGGUCAAUGUGAUUCUUGUCCAGUUAUUCAGCCUUGUCUCUCACCACUUACCACACUCUGCCCUUUGCUCUAGCCCCAUAGUGGGCAGAGUGGAACUCUGCGGGGCUCUUCCUCACCUCAGGGUCUUUGUCUUGGCCUCUUCCCUCUAUCUGGCAAGCUUUUCCUUGUCCUUCAGGUCUCAAUCUGUAUAUCUCCUCCACCAGAAAGCCUACAAUACUGACACAAAACUGAGAUAUAGAUGUCUCUUCUGUGUGUUCCAAUUGUGCCCUGUUAUAUUCCUGUCAGAGUGUCUAUAACUCUAUAUGGACAUUGGCUGCUUCUCUGUUUUUUUUAGGUUAUAGCAUAUUUGUUAUGUUUGAUUGUUGAGAGGUAGACCAUACCAUAUUCAUCUUGUAAUUCCAGUACUGGUUCUAGUAUCUUAAAAUAUGGCUGUUGAGUAUAUGAAUGAAGAAUGGAAAAAGCUCUGAUAUUUAACCACAAUUAUAAUUAAUGCCUGGUGUAAAUAGAAGCACAUUCUAUUUAAUAUUAAUUUUGUAUUGUAAUGGUACAUACAUAAUUCUCAUUCUUAUUAACUCUGAUAAAGUUCUCAACUUUUUAGUUUUUAAACUCACUGUUAGUUAACAGAAAUGUUUUAUGUAAAGAACAUAAUUCUUUUUCUUUUCAGCUGUUUCUGUGUUGGACAUUUGCUCCCAUCUACCUUCUUCUCUAGGGUCCACUGAUGAGCCACAUCUAAUGAAGAGAAUAUCUAAACCAAAAAGUUUAAGGAAAAAGUUUAUGAUUUAAAAGAUUAUCAAACUUUAUUACUGGGCUAUUUACACGAUGUUUUAAUUGUUUCUCUUAAAAUAUAUAACAUCACAGUCUUUACUAAAGUAGAAUAUUUUUGUAUCAUAUGUAUGAUGAAAAUUUAUUUGGUCUUUUAAAUGAUGUUAUUUAGACUCUUUAAUUUUUAAGUGGCUCUUGUAAAGGAAAACUAGUGUUACUGAAUUUACAUAUCAAAUUGCCCAAGUGUCAGCUGUUUAAACAGCCAAACAAGCAAAUCAUCAUUGGUAGUUUAGUAGAGAUCAUUGAUGGCUUAUCUGCAAUUUGCAUGUUAUUGUUAUUAGUGUAUGCAGUAGGAGACUUAAGGAGUAGCUACCCAUUUUUCAUGUGUAUAUUACUAUUUCCUUUAUUUAAUUUAAUCAAUUUAUUUAUUUAUGAGGUAGAGUUUUGCUCCUCAUCCACGCUGGAGAACAAUGAUGCGGUCUCAGCUCACUGCAACCUCUGCCUCCUGGGUUCAGGUGUUCUCCUGCCUCAGCUUUCUAAGUAGCUGGGAUUGCAGUUGCCUGCCACCACACCCAGCUAAUUUUUGAUAGAGAUGGGGUUUCAGCAUGUUGGUCCAGCUGGUCUUGAACUCCUGACCUCAGGUGAUCUACCUGCCUUGGCCUGGCAAAGUGCUGGGAUUACAGGUGUGAGCCACUGCAUCUGACCACUAAUGUUACUAUUUCCUUUUUGCAGUUCAGCAGUUAUUUUGUGAGAAGAUACGUUGAGGCUUUGUAACUAUCUUGUUACCCCUCAAAACCUACUAGAUUUAGCAUUUCAUUGGUGAUUUGUGUUUGAACAAUUAUUACUAUGAUGGUUGCCAAAAGAUUACUUUCUGAUUCUCUUUUUUGUUCCACAUGGAAAAAUAAAACCAAUAAAUAAGGGAGAAGGAAAAGCUCAUGAUUUUGGUGCUCAGAUGCCCCAAGAUUAGGCCAGUGGUAGACAUUUCAAGCUGACUUUAUGUCUUUUUAAUUUGGCCCUUUUACUCUGUGAGUACUUUUUUACUUUCUGGCACAUGAUGUUACAUGCUAAUCUUGUAUUUUCUCUCCCCCAGCCCUGGAGUGAGUAAUUUUUCUUAGAAGCAGAGGUGGAGCCACCAAGGAAUCGCAAGACAAGCCCUCCCAGCACACAUUCACUGGUCUCCAACAGAAAGAACCACUGCCGCAUGCACUGAGGUUCCUGUUGUGAUGGGUUGUGUCACACAUGAUGUCAUCCUUGCUGAGCCCUCCAUUGUCUGUGUUGUGAAGCAGUUAGAGACGUACAACAGUGUCUGUCAGUGGCUCUGCCUGCAGGACUGUUUUCUUCAUGAGAGAUCAUCCCCAGAACUGCCCAUGACAACUCCAUCAGGGCUCUGACACCAGGCUUAGUCCAACUCCAUGGUAAUCAAGAUGAAGGUCCAGAGUCAAACCCCCAGCAUGGUGCCUGCAUCUGACCACCCUUGGUGGGUAGUGACCAGCUCAACAUGGAAGAAGCCAGGGAAGCAUGCAGCCAGCUGCCCUGCAGCCCCAGGGGCUCCUAGGCCUUGGGAAGUCAUUCUCAAAGAAGAAACUGGCCACUUAGAGGUCCCGGAAUGGAAGCGUGAACAUAGCAUCCCUACAACCCUGGUAGCCAGCAGCAGGCCAUACAUCUUCCCACCCAACCUGUAGGACAGAAGUUCCCUCCUAGGGCACAAGUUCUGUACCUUAAGGGUGCUGGCCCAGUUGGGCUUCAUACUGAGCCCGGGGAAAGGAGGGGAACCAUUGCAAGCCCACCAAGCAGCAGCCAGGAUUACCACACAUGGGAUUCAGCCUUCUGCGGCCCUGGCCAAACUUUUUGCCCCAAGAGAACAAGCUCACUCAAAGUGGUGUGUCAGUACUGAGGGCCUGUGCAUGCCAGGCAAGGUGCAGCUGGCUCAAAGAGCAAUCAUCCACCUCUGCAAGGGUAUGCCAGGAGCAAGUGGGCCAGCCACCAACCUCACCCACUCAAGGAGGCAGGGAUGGUUAGGUUCCCACAGCCUGAGUGGCUGCCACCUGACAGCUUAUGGAGUGGAGACCUGCGAAAAAGCACAUGGUACUCGGCUCUACCUUUAGGGCAGAAUAACUUGUUUACCCUGACUGGCAGCAAGUGAGGUUGGUGGCUGGUCCACUGGUUCCUGGCACAUGCUUGCAGAGGUGACUGGUUGCUCUUUGACCCAGCUUGGCCUUGCCCAGCAUGCACAGACCUUAGUACAACAAUUGCCACAAAUGGAGUCACAUUGAGGAAAUGAGCAGCAAGGUCGGGAGCAGGGUAUGUGCUGCCUUUGCGGUUCCAGUCCAUGCAUCAGGGCUCGUAUGGGACUGAGGGCCUUUUGGGUGCCAAGAGGCAGAUCACAGGCCAUCUUGAGGAGGACUUUAUGUUUAAGUGCAGAAAGGACCCAAUCUGGUGAAUGAACCACGUGGCAAGUUUCUACAUGAGGGCACAGUGCCACAUCUUCUGCCACUUUAUGAUGUGUCUUAUUAGCACUGAAGAGACAGCUUGGAGACAGGACAAGAGGAGGGCUGACAAGGAUGAGAUGGUGAGUUCCAGCUUCUUUCUGACCCUGAGCUCACCCCCAGGUAGUGGUUCUCAUCCUUUAGGAGUAGGAGAGCAAGACUGAUGGCUUUGAGUGCUUCACCAAGAAGGUGGACAACAGGGCACUCAGCUCAACUUCAUAGCCAGUGAGUUGGUGACAGGCUUUAAGAUGGUGGUGACAGGCUUUAAGAAGAAGGAUCAGAAGGUGGCCAGUUAUUCUUCAGCCUCAGCCAGCUCUUGGAGCUGGAACGGGCUCCCACUUCACCAGAGAUGCCUGCAACACUGUCGGAGAGCUCUUUGCCAAUCAGCUGAGGCAGAACCUGGAUCCACUCAUGGACAUGUUAGUGCUGCUCAGGGCCACCAGACCAACAUCCUGGACAUCAUCCACACACACAGGGAAGCUCUUUCCAGUGACACGGUGAGCAGGCAACAUGUGGCGGAAAGGAUGACAUCAGGAUCACAGGAAUAGGAUUUCUUUGGCCACUUUGAUUGAAAUUCAACACUUCCAUCCAAUUUGAGUGAGAGACUUAAAAUCACAGAUGCAGCAUUUCUUGCAACAAGAGAUACUAUUUUUUAAAAUGUCACCUAGGAAUUGAUAGUGUUGAAUGACUAGAUACUUGAUUGUGGACUUUUUCUAGUUUAAGGACACCUUCUACAGCAGAAUAAUAACACCAUCAGAGAGCUAGUGCCAGCUAUCAGUGGUAGUACAGUGAUGGCUUUGUGCUCAGCUGGAACCAAGCUGAAUAUAGAAUUGUGUAGGAAACAGUUCAUAUGGUGAUAGAAUAGAAACAGUACCAAACGAACUAAAUCAUCCUACGAAUGCCUACACGACCAUUCGUAUUGGAAUAAUAGUAAUAUUGGAAUAUUGGAAGAAUAGUAAUAGCAUUUAUUUUAUUGCUUUUUGAAGUAUAAAUAGUUUAGUGUAUGUGCUGUAGACCUCAAACCCUGUAAAUAGUCUCGAAGCAGCUGGCUGGAUAAAGCCUGCUGUGGAUGUCUUUAUACGGACACAAGAACAGAAAAUGAAACACCGCAUAUUCUCACUCAUAGGCGGGUGAUGAAAAAUGAGAACACAUGGACACAGAAAGGGGAGUACUAAAC